rnacentral:lncRNA from 1 species
UUUGUACUGAAUUUGUUCCUUUUAUUUUGUCUUUAUUGUAUUUACAGUAUGUACAAUCAUUUCAGUCACUAUAAAGCUAUAAAAAUAAGCUCUCACACUCUGUAUGAUGAAGAUAAAUUUAAUACAAAAGAAAAUUGUGUUGAACACACAUGGACCCGGGGCUUUUUCCUCCUCCUAUGGCACAGUGUAAUAACAAUAAAAAAGCUGAGACUGGCCUUCGCCUCGCUGGAUCACAGACCGUUAGAGAACUGAAACAUGACAUGCACUGCCCUCUGGGGUUUAAUAACACUGGCUUCCACCGAACUCAGCUAAAAGCGUUAAACCUCCGCACAAGCGUAGAAAAUGCUCUGUUGGUACAUCAGAGAGAACUCCGGUCCUAUACAUUGUUCUUUCUCUAAUGCAACACUCUUCGUCUUUAAUGCAAAUUAAUGCAAAGAAAAGAGCAGAAUACAUUCAGCCUGGUCCAGGAAUCUGAUGCUAAGAUAACAUUGUAUCUUAUCAGUCGCUGCCAACACUGGGAUUACAUUUUUUAAAGGCUGAAACAUCAAAAAUUGCCGACACAUAUCCAUGCAGAAAGCACAAAAACACUCAGCCACACAUUUGUUCCAAUCUACACACCUCUCAGUUUUACAGUACUUCAGUUUUCACAAGGUGCAACACGAGGAUUGAUUUAAUAGUUCAAGUAUUUUUAUGAAAUGAGCCUUUGGGUGAAGUCGCUACUGUAGGGCUUGGGUGACAUUUCCUACAGAUAAUAAAAUCUGGUCCUCUUUUAAUAACAGGCUCCCUCCUGUUACACUGGAAACCUCCAUAUGGCGCUCCUCAAACACCCGUUCUUUUGAUCUUUCCUAUAAUUUGAACAUUUUAACACCUCAUUUUUGUGCUUAGACCAAAAGAAAAACAUAAUUUCUCCUUAUGUUCAUCUGAGUGAAAUGUGUUUUUCCAGACCAAAGGAUUCAUUAAAAGUGCGCACCCCCCCUUCUGUAAGUGUCUCCAGAUUAAUUUAGCCGUCACUUGCAGCUUUUUGAGGCUGACCGCUGCAGAUGUGGUGACCUCUUGAACUUGGUCAGAGUCUGCACAGCUCCGUAUCAGGACAUCAAGUAUCAUCAUCCUGUUUCAACCGCAGGGCGCCUGUCCGUCACUCUCUGAUGAGCGGGAGCUGCUUUGUGCAGUCUAAACUGCAUUUUCAUUCACUGCAGUUGUUUGAACUCAAAAUAAAUCAGAUUUUAUUGAGAUUUAGUUGCGGAAAAGGAUGCCGAAAUCACACCAUCAGGUUGCAGACUAGAACAAAACUAACAAUUAGAUCUUUGUCGGGUUUGUCCUCAACAAGACAAGAAAAAACUUUUAAACGCUCCUUUUUUGAAUGAGGUUUGGGCAGACUAUAAGUGAAGCACUUUUAGUACCUGCUAACAAAAUCUUUUGCAAAUCUGAGUUUGUGCAUCACACAAACAUCCAGCCUCUCUUUUGGUCUGAACACCUUUUCUCUGCAUCUGUCCGCUCAUACUCCCUCUUUUUUUUUAACCACAACACAAAUCAUGCUCGAUGUCUCCUCUCUCUACUUGCACACAUCUUCAGUCUGCAUGUCCUCGCACACAAACUCCCCGCUGCUGCUGCAACUUCUGAGAUGUCCCCCCGGGUGUUUUAACAAGUAUUCUCUGUUAGUAGCUGC